UGAUGAGUUCGCAAAUCAAAAUUCCCACUUGUGCUGCCACUGGACAGCAAAAAAACAAGUAAGUUAUGUAUUGUAAUUUAAAUCAGUUUGUAGUGGUUAAGUGUUCAGUUAUAUUACAUACUGUAGUUACCUCAAUUGGUAUUUCAAAUAAGUUCGCUGACUUAACAGCAAGCCGAAAUUUAACUAACUAGCAGGCGUAGCUAAAUACCCCCCCCUAGAUACAGCCACGCCGUGAGAUUUGUAAAUGAAAGAGGAAUAUAAUAAUACGAAUUAAAUGGAGUUUACCAUUUUCCUAUUUAGAGUUUCUGGCACAGCACAGAAAUGCCCUUAUCCAGAUGGUGGGACAUAGGCAUUUCCUGACAGACUUGCUAACUUUAUCAAAAAGAAAGGAGGACCAAGGCACUCUUCAUAUAAUUCAUUAAAAUGCCUUUAUUUGUAUGGCAUGUUCAAUAGAAAUAAAGUUUUAAAAUCAGACGCGUUUCGGCUGCAUGGUCUUUGUCAGGGAGUACUAAGAAAUGAUAAUACAAUGUCCUCUUUUGAACAGCUUUUUCCAAAUCAGCCCUAAUUAGAAGAGGGAGUGGUUACAAAAUUAAUUGGACAACAACUAGUUGGAACCAACAUGCAGUAUAUCCAGCAGAAAGAGAGGCAAGAACCAUUGGUCCGCCAGUUCAGGGACAAGCUAAACUAUUCACAGCCUUUUGUAAUUUUCUGUGUAAUUGCAUUGCUGGACUUUUUGAAACUAUGUAUUUGUAUUGUUUUAAAAAUGUACAGAUUAAAGGAAAUGUGUGGAUUAAA
ensembl:lncRNA